rnacentral:lncRNA from 1 species
UCCGCUGGUCGUCAGGUCGCCGACUGCUGCUGUUUCGCCGGAGUCGCUGCCUGAAGUUGCUGCUGCUCGUCCGGUGGUCAGCGGUCAUCUGCUCUGGUCUGCUUCGGAUGCCGAUGCGUCAAUCCCGACACCGUCCUCUUUCCUCUCCGUAGUGUCCAAGAACGAGCCCUGAAAUCGGGAAGGUCGCCGCUGCUACUUCCGGCGAACAGUCAGGGUCUCGUUCGUCCUCCUGCGUCGGCUCUUCUUCCCAAUCCGCUGAAGGAAAGCAGAAGCUCUAAUCUCCUUGCCGUCGAAAGUCUGCCGCCUCCGUCGAUUUCCCCGAGCCCCGACGCCGCUGCUGUAACUCAGAUUCCGACAAGGCAGCUCGCCGUCGACGCUCUUCGGUUCGGCGGAACAGGGCAGCCUUCCUCCGUCCGAUUUCAAGUCUCUCACUCACACAGGUUUAAGGUGUUCUAAACGAAAAUCCAUUAGUUUGGUUUCUAGUGUUAUUCCAGUUGGUGCAGCCCAUAAAUCAUCUUGUUUCCUAUUUGAUUAUGCAAGAGAUUAAACUAAACAUGUAGUUGUUUCUAUAUCAUAGGAAUUCUUACUGACUUCGUGAUUGCUAAGCCCCUUAUGCAUAUACUCAUUAUAUACUUAGUAUUCAUUAACUGAUCAUGCUUGUUGGAUGAAAUGCAAAUGGAUUGAAUAGGGGAGCUUAGUAUAUACCUGUGGAUCCUUGUGUUUGGGUGGCUGCUGUGUGAUUGAAUCAGUGGAUAGAUACACUCUAAAGUUUGGCAGAAGAGCAAUGAAUGGAGUUCCUCCUUCACGUGGGUUAUUAGUGCAGGGGAAAUGAGAAGUGAAAUGGAAGAGAGUUGCUGC